UGCUGAACGCCUCGUCGACGGCCGCUGGCCAAACGGCCGAUGAAGCUGAGGCUCGCGUGAUGGCGCAGAGCCUUGUAUAUGAGAUUCAGUUUCAUCCAUUGUGAUUGAAUUUUAUUUUUCUCAUUCAAAAACAGUGAAGCGCUGGAGAAUCCAAACGUUCCCCUGGCACAAGGGGAGUAAAUAAUAAAGAAGAGAAACCGUAACAGCUUCUUUUUGUUUCGAACCUUUGGACAACGAUGCUCAUACCAAGCACUGCUUCGAAGUCUCAGACAUGUCCGUUACUGAGUGGGCUUAAAAAAGCUCACCAGACAGUGAGAGAGACUUGUGCUCAGUGCUGCUAACACAUACAGAGCGUCGGAUCGAUGGUAGAGGGACUGACGGUUUCCCCGUUUACAACUUUCUAGCAUCCCCCUAAAGCAGAUGUGGCAACUCCAGGCCUGGAGGGCCGGUGUCCUGCAGGUUUAAGAUGUCCUUGAUCCAACACAGCUGGUUUGAACGGCUAAACGACCUCCUCAACAUGUCCUGAAGUUCUCCAGAGGCCUGGAGGUCCCCACCCCCCAACCCUAAAGGGACAAGUUCCAAUAAUGGCGUAAUCACAGAGCUGACUUUCGUCUUGUCUAACAGAGCAGAGCACUUGCUAUAAAUCCAACAGUGGUGGAGUGUUUAGAGCUCGUUAUAAUGCGAGCCCAGGUGGAGUCGCUGUCAGCACAGCUCACGUAGCUCCACGCUGUGCUUAAACCCGAGCGGCUAAUUCGCUGCUAAUGCUAACUCUAGAUCGUAAUCCAGUCUCGGUGCGUCCUGAAUCAAUUUGAUAAAACACGUCACAGUUCAACAGAACCACAGCAGUAACAGGUCCUGACCUUUGCUAUCGUCUGUGCUGUCCUGUUGUGGGUUGGAUAACGGGGGAAGCUGCUCAGUGGGAUUUCAGCUGCUAUACUUUCCAUGUGUGGAUAUAGAAAUGCCCCUCACACCAAUCAUGCCAGCUGCCUUUAACAUAAGUUUUUGAGGAUGAGUUCAUCCUGGAAAAAUGACAAAAUGUAGUUUAAUAAAACAACGAACAUGAAUACAGAGCAGACACAAGGUUUAUGGAGUCCGCUUGUCCCGCAGCACAGGAAGUGGCAGAGCUCCAGGUUGGAUACUCCAAAGAUUUAGAUCUAAAAUCUUUCACAUCUUUUCUUGGUCUUUGUAAACUUUAAUUGGAAGCUUUCAGGUUCUGACCUGUGAUUUCAACAUGUAGUCAUUUUCAGUGUGCUGGUAUCACAGAGUGGGCAACUUGAGGCUGGUCUAACAUUAAAACGCUGGCCUCAGCACACACAGCUGGUCUAUGCUGCUAUCUUUUGUACUCGUGGAAAGAAGUGGGCAUUUUGGCUGGAAUGGAAACCUGCCAGUUUAACCUUUCUCAAAACGAAUCGUGCAUGCCGCUCGGUGACUGAAGUCAGCACUGCGAGUCCUGGAUCAGGGCUGCGCUCGUUUCAGUUUUCCUGCUCUCACUCAUCUGUACGCACAGUUCUUGCUUUCAUGUCAUUGUAAGAUACUUUGAAGAAACUGAGUUGAGUUUCACAUGUGAAACAACAGCUGUCACUCACUGUUGAACCAAUGGAUUUUUAAUAAAAAUGAACUCGUUUAAAGUUUAAACCAAAC
ensembl:lncRNA